UACGUAGGGUGCAAGCGUUAAUCGGAAUUACUGGGCGUAAAGCGUGCGCAGGCGGUUUUGUAAGUCUGUCGUGAAAUCCCCGGGCUCAACCUGGGAACUGCAUUUGUGACUGCAUCGCUGGAGUACGGCAGAGGGGGAUGGAAUUCCGCGUGUAGCAGUGAAAUGCGUAGAUAUGCGGAGGAACACCGAUGGCGAAGGCAAUCCCCUGGGCCUGUACUGACGCUCAUGCGCGAAAGCGUGGGGAGCAAACAGG
rnacentral:rRNA from 1 species